rnacentral:rRNA from 1 species
GACGAACGCUGGCGGCGUGCUUAACACAUGCAAGUCGAACGGAAAGGCCCUGCUUUUGUGGGGUGCUCGAGUGGCGAACGGGUGAGUAACACGUGAGUAACCUGCCCUUGACUUUGGGAUAACUUCAGGAAACUGGGGCUAAUACCGGAUAGGAGCUCCUGCUGCAUGGUGGGGGUUGGAAAGUUUCGGCGGCUGGGGAUGGACUCGCGGCUUAUCAGCUUGUUGGUGGGGUAGUGGCUUACCAAGGCUUUGACGGGUAGCCGGCCUGAGAGGGUGACCGGCCAAAUGGGGAAUGAGAUACGGCCCAGACUCCUACGGGAGGAAGGAGGGGGGAAUUUUGCACAAUGGGCGGAAGCCGGAUGCAGCAACGCCGGGGGGGGGAUGACGGCCUUCGGGUUGUAAACCGCUUUCCCCUGUGACGAAGGGGGAGUGAGGGUAAUGGGUAAAGAAGCACCGGCUAACUACGU